CCUAAUACAUGCAAGUAGAACGCUGAAGAGAGGAGCUUGCUCUUCUUGGAUGAGUUGCGAACGGGUGAGUAACGCGUAGGUAACCUGCCUUGUAGCGGGGGAUAACUAUUGGAAACGAUAGCUAAUACCGCAUAACAAUGGAUGACACAUGUCAUUUAUUUGAAAGGGGCAAAUGCUCCACUACAAGAUGGACCUGCGUUGUAUUAGCUAGUAGGUGAGGUAACGGCUCACCUAGGCGACGAUACAUAGCCGACCUGAGAGGGUGAUCGGCCACACUGGGACUGAGACACGGCCCAGACUCCUACGGGAGGCAGCAGUAGGGAAUCUUCGGCAAUGGGGGCAACCCUGACCGAGCAACGCCGCGUGAGUGAAGAAGGUUUUCGGAUCGUAAAGCUCUGUUGUAAGUCAAGAACGAGUGUGAGAGUGGAAAGUUCACACUGUGACGGUAGCUUACCAGAAAGGGACGGCUAACUACGUGCCAGCAGCCGCGGUAAUACGUAGGUCCCGAGCGUUGUCCGGAUUUAUUGGGCGUAAAGCGAGCGCAGGCGGUUUGAUAAGUCUGAAGUUAAAGGCUGUGGCUCAACCAUAGUUCGCUUUGGAAACUGUCAAACUUGAGUGCAGAAGGGGAGAGUGGAAUUCCAUGUGUAGCGGUGAAAUGCGUAGAUAUAUGGAGGAACACCGGUGGCGAAAGCGGCUCUCUGGUCUGUAACUGACGCUGAGGCUCGAAAGCGUGGGGAGCGAACAGGAUUAGAUACCCUGGUAGUCCACGCCGUAAACGAUGAGUGCUAGGUGUUGGAUCCUUUCCGGGAUUCAGUGCCGCAGCUAACGCAUUAAGCACUCCGCCUGGGGAGUACGACCGCAAGGUUGAAACUCAAAGGAAUUGACGGGGGCCCGCACAAGCGGUGGAGCAUGUGGUUUAAUUCGAAGCAACGCGAAGAACCUUACCAGGUCUUGACAUCCCGAUGCUAUUUCUAGAGAUAGAAAGUUACUUCGGUACAUCGGUGACAGGUGGUGCAUGGUUGUCGUCAGCUCGUGUCGUGAGGUGUUGGGUUAAGUCCCGCAACGAGCGCAACCCCUAUUGUUAGUUGCCAUCAUUCAGUUGGGCACUCUAGCGAGACUGCCGGUAAUAAACCGGAGGAAGGUGGGGAUGACGUCAAAUCAUCAUGCCCCUUAUGACCUGGGCUACACACGUGCUACAAUGGUUGGUACAACGAGUUGCGAGUCGGUGACGGCAAGCUAAUCUCUUAAAGCCAAUCUCAGUUCGGAUUGUAGGCUGCAACUCGCCUACAUGAAGUCGGAAUCGCUAGUAAUCGCGGAUCAGCACGCCGCGGUGAAUACGUUCCCGGGCCUUGUACACACCGCCCGUCACACCACGAGAGUUUGUAACACCCGAAGUCGGUGAGGUAACCUUUUGGAGCCAGCCGCCUAAGGUGGGAUAGAUGAUUGGGGUAA
rnacentral:rRNA from 1 species